rnacentral:rRNA from 1 species
UACGUAGGUGGCAAGCGUUGUCCGGAUUUACUGGGCGUAAAGAGCGCGCAGGCGGUCGUUCAAGUCGCGUGUGAAAGCCCCCGGCUCAACUGGGGAGGGUCACGCGAUACUGAUCGACUCGAAGGCAGGAGAGGGAAGUGGAAUUCCCGGUGUAGUGGUGAAAUGCGUUAGAUAUCGGGAGGAACACCAGUGGCGAAGGCGGGUCUCUGGGCAGUAACUGACGCUGAGGAGCGAAAGCGUGGGGAGCGAACAGG